CGCUGCCAGCAAACCCAGCCAAACAAACCACAAGAAGGAUAUCGGCAUCACUCGCCACAGUCUACGUGGUGAUAUGUAACUUCCCGAAAUUAUGGUUGAAUUGCAUCAAAAUACGUAAGUCAUAUCAGGUAGAAGGUAUUUCAUUAUUCAACCGCUCACAAAUCCUGCAUCUGCUCAGAAAUUAUGCAGAGCCGCUUUGUGAGAGCAGGAAUUGUUACAUUUGGCCACCAGAGACAGCCAGCGGACACAGGUUGGAAGACACCUCGACAGUUAUUGCAAAGGACUGGAGUGAUAUAAUUAAGUCUCAUGGAGAGACUGAGGUGUGAGGUGCGGGGCUCACUGCUUAGCCCAGUACUGGAUUUUUUCAAUAAGCCACGAGGGGAGGAGACACCAGUGUUUUCCUACUUGAAAGUAUCAUCUGAUAUGGAGGGCUGGGAGGAGGAAGAAGGGAAGCUGCUGUCCUUUGCCACUCUCAGCAAGGGAAGUUCUGAGUAGACGAAGGGGAAUGUCCUGUAUUCAGCAAUGGUAAAAGUCAGGAACAUCAGUGCCCAAUGGGAUGUUAAAGAGCAUCAGUGGAAGAGUUACCAGCAGUGACAGAGUAAAUGGCAGGAUUUUGGUGGAGGGUGCUUUACAAACUCCCGCUCUCCAAGAGGUCAGGGGAUCUUCAGUGGAAGGUGAUGCAUGGGGCCCUGGUGACCAAUAUUUUUCUGUCCAAGUUGAAUUCAAAUGAGGGGAGGGGUUUCUAUUUUGUAAUCUACGUGAAACUGUUGUGCAUGUGUUUGUUGAUUUUAGCUGGUUAUCUUCUUUUCUUCCGGUGUGUGCUCUGUGGGAAGAUGAGUGUUUUUUUCUGUGGGUCUGUACAUACUGGGGCCAAUGGCAAUUUUGCUUACAUUUUCUAUAUGGUCAGGCUAACUUGGUUACAUGGCUCAUAAAAUGGGUCAAAAUACAGAUUUGGGAGCCUGUGGACCUAGUUUCAUGUUUAUGGGAUUGGUUUGUGUGCACCUUA